rnacentral:lncRNA from 1 species
ACUCCUGUAAUUAUCUUUAAAUGGAGAUGAAAAGCCUGGAUAGACUGGUUUAUCUGAAUAUUUCAAAGCCUGUCCUCACUUAGGCCCCUUUAUGAGUGAGGUAAGUAGGUGCAAGCAUGUUAUGGGUCAAAAGUGGACAGAUUGUGUUAGGUUCAGAGGAAGUGGUGCAGCAGGACCCACCAGUCUUCAGCUACUGUUUCUUUAUAUUUUUUGGUUUUUAGCUUCCAAGAUGAGUUAAUUUCUAGAAGUGCUGACUAUGAUGAUAUUAGUCAGGGAUUACCUUAGAAAACAAUUUCCAAAAAUAAAAUUGAUUCUCACUUCCUAAAUACAAGGUUAUUUAACUGGAAUGUGUACGUCUCAUCUGGAUUCUCUAAUUUACUUGAAAGUGUUAAGCCAUUCUCUUUCUCUCUUUUUUUCUAUAGCUUUUCAUGGAUACUGCUCCAACCAAGGUAUUCAGAUCAUUGACUCUACUUUGCAGUUCUUUGAUGAUUUUAAAACUGUAGAUUUAAUCUGUUAGUUGUGCUUCUUGGUUCCCAGGCUAGGGGUAGAAUCCAAGCUGUAGCCACCAGCCUACGCCAGAGCCACAGCAAUGCCAGAUCCGAGCCAUGUAUGUGACCUACACCACAGCUCACAGCAACACGGGAUCCGUAACCCACUGAGUGAGGUCAGGGAUCGAACCUGCAACCUCAUCGUUCCUAGUCGGAUUCGUUAACCACUGAGCCACGACGGGAACUCCUGGAAUACACUCUUAAGGCAUCAUCUCAGUGAAUACAGGCAAUGAAGACAUCAAUCAUUACAUAGUUUUGCUCUUUUAAUUUAAACAGUGUUAGUUUGAGAGAAUUUUGUGAUGGGAAUGUCACUUGCUAAUUCUUACACAAAAUGAAUGAUUUUUUCCAACAUACAGUGGAAAUGAUCUGUCUUCUGGUGUCUUUCUUGUGUGUGCAUGUGUUUAAACCCUUAAAAGAAAUGAGAAAAACCUUCAUUUUGGUAUAUAAAACUAAUCAUAUAUGUAUGUAACAUGAAUAUAUGCAUAUAGUUAAUAAUACACAGAAAGCUGUAUCUCUUCUAAAGCAGAGCCAAAAUGAAAGGUCUAAAUUCCAAUUAAUUCUGUAUUUAAUUUGAAUUUCAGUGUAUCUCACAGGACAAAGUUUAAAAGGAGGUGCCUGGUUUUAUUUCUAAGAAUACCUUAUUCAUUGGUCAGAGGUAAUUACAGAGCACCUUUUGAGUAUUGCCUCCUAAAUGGGAGGCACUAAAGAUGAAGAUGGCUCAAUAUUUUAAGAACUAGAUUUGGUGUGUGUAACUUUUGAACUGAAAAGCAUUCUGAUUUUCACAUUCUUUUAUAGGUGCUGAGGACGAAUUGCUUUGACACGAAUGUAUAACAGAAUUAACAUUAUGGUUUUACAUUUUUGGGAGCUGUUCUCAAUGUGCCCUUGGAAUUUUUUAUUGUGCUACUGUCAUUAGCUUUUUGGAAGUACCUGAUGCAUGAAACAGGCAUCUUAAUGUGCCUUUAUUUCCUUUUUGACCGUAAACUGUCAAAAAAAAAAAAAAAAAGCUUAGAAUUUAGCUAGCAAACACAACUUAGGUUGGGAUUUUAACUCUACUCUUAAUAUAUUUUAAUUUUAGAUUAUUAUGACUAAAAGGGCUUGAAGUAAAAAUCCACUCAGAAUAUGUUUGCAUGCAUUUUACUUUUUUCUUUUCAUUUAAAAAAAAACUGUUAUUGUAGUUGAUUUACAAUGUUCUGUCAAUUUCUGCUGCACAACAAAGUGACCCAGUUAUACACACACACACACACACACACACACACACACACAUUCUUUUUCUCAUAACAUCUUGCAUCAUAUUCUACAAGUGGUUGGGUAUAGUUCCCUGUGCUCUCCAGCAGGACCUCAUUGCUUCUCCACUCCAAAUGCAAUACUCUUGAGUAAUGACCGUGAAAACAAAAAUAAAUGAAUGGGACCUAAUUAAACUUAAAAGUUUCUGCACAGCAAAGGAAACCCUAAACAAAAUGAAAAGACAACCCACAGAAUGGGAGAAAUCUUUGCAAAUCAAUCUGCUGACAAGUGAUUAACCUUCAAAAUUUAUAAACACCUUCUGCAGCUCAAUACCAAAAAACACUCCAAAUGCAAUAGUUUACAUCUAUGAACCCCAGACUCCCAGUCCAUCCCACUCCCUCCCCUGGUUUGAGUGCAUUGUAAUCUCAUCCUUGCAAUGGGAGCGGCAAGAGCUAUGAUAGAGAUUUAUUAUUUGACCCCAAAACUCUGGGAAGACACACUGCUAGCACACAGAAUUGGCUGACAGCUGUAUCUGUAUCGGUAUGGGAUAGAGGAACUUAUCUGUGAAUGUCAUGAACACUCAAAGAUCGAUGUCUCUGAAUGAAUGGGAUCCUAGCCUGGGAACUUUCAUAUGCUGAAGGUGUGGCCCUAAAAAGACCAAAAAAGGGGGGGGGGCAGUUAACUUGAAUUAAAUAACAAUUUUGCUCCAAAACGAAAAAAAAAUGAAAUCUCUCUUAUUCGGGAGGGCAGGGAAAGGAAGAUAAACCUUAAAACAUCCUUUAUUUAGUAAGACUUAGUUAUAUUAUUUUGAACAAAUAUAUUUUUAGAGGGUAAAUUUGUGGAUUCAGAAGACAACUAUUUCCAGGCACGGUGCUAAAGGAAUUUUUUUUUUUUUUUCUUUUGGGAAUUUCCAAAGCAAAAAUAUUGGACAUUUUGGAGGCUAAGCCAUAAACUUGGAUUAAAAAAAAAAAAUCAAAGCUUAGGAUUAGGGACUCUAUUUUAAAAUGAUUUCAGAAAACAAAUAUUCUGGGGUUCCCAUCAUGGCUCAGUGGUUAAUGAAUCUGACUGGGAACCAUGAGGUUGUGGGUUUGAUCCCUGGCCUCGCUCAAUGGGUUAAGGAUCUGGCGUUGCCGUGAGCUGUGGUGUAGGUUGCAGAAACAGCUUGGAUCCUGUGUUGCUGUGGCUGUGGUGUAGGCUGGUGGUUACAGCUAUGAUUAGACCCCUAGCCUGGGAACCUCCAUGUGCUGCAGGUGCGGUCCUAGAAAGACCAAAAAAAAAAUUCUAAUAGGGAGGUUUAUGAGUAGGAUUAUGAAAUUUUGUUGUUUUAUGCCUCAAAAGCAAUUUUAUUUUGGCUACACCUGUGACGUGCAAAUCCCCAGGUCAGGGAUGGAACCCUCACCACAGCAGUGCCAAAGCUGGAUCCUUAACCUGCUAAGGGACCAGGGAAAUCCUUUUUUAUUUUCUUGGAAUUUUUUAAUAAUGCUAAUUUUUUGUGUUUUACACACCCCAUUUAGCAUAACCCUAUGCAGUGAUCCUUUAUUAUUAUUAUAUUGU